rfam:Geobacillus thermodenitrificans NG80-2, complete genome.
CCUAGUGGUGAUAGCGGAGAGGAAACACCCGUUCCCAUCCCGAACACGGAAGUUAAGCUCUCCAGCGCCGAUGGUAGUUGGGGCCAGCGCCCCUGCAAGAGUAGGUCGCUGCUAGGC